UGUGUGUGUGUGUGUGGCUCAGAAUCGCGUGCGAAGAGUCCGGCGUGUCAUUCUGUGGAAUCCGCCAACUGAAACACACUAUAUAACAGCAAACACACACACUCACGCACACACACACACACACACACAAACACAGGCGAGUUUCUGCUGCAGCUCAUUCUGCGCUCGAUCAUCACACAGCAGAGCAUCUGUUGGUGAAGAUGAUUCCUCCUGGAGACUGUCUGUACGCUGGGAGGAAGAGGAGGAAACCCGUCCAGAAACACAGAAAACCAGCGGCAGUGACGGAGAAGUCGAACCCGUCGAAGCGACACCGCGACCGUCUGAACGCUGAGCUGGAGCGACUCGCCGGACUGCUGCCCUUCUCCCCUGAGAUCAUCUCCAAACUGGACAAACUGUCCGUCCUGCGUCUGAGCGUCAGCUACCUGCGGGUCAAGAGCUUCUUCAGCGGUGAGUGUGUGUGUGUGUGUGUGUGUG